ACCAGAAAAGGAAAAAGUCGCUCCUUUCCUUUCUUUUCUCCCUCCAAAAACGCACCACAAAAAACCACAGCGCCCCCUUUUCCUUCCAGCUAGGGUUAGGGUUUCUCUCGCCGGAGAUCGUCGACCGGAAGCAGCCCCCGAUCGGAGAGCCAGCCAUGGCGAGGUACCGGAGCAGGAGCCGGAGCUUCAGCCCCGCCGCCGCAGCCGCUCCCGCCCCGCGCCCGCAAGCCGCGCCACGGCUACGACGACGACCCCGCGACCCCCGCGACCGCCGCGCUUACCGCGACCGCCGUUCCCCCGCUCCUUCCGGCCUCCUCCUCCGCAAUCUCCCCCUCGAUACGAGGGCGGAAGAUCUCAGGGUGCCAUUCGAGCGGUUCGGUCCUGUGAAGGAUGUCUACCUUCCUAAGAAUUAUUACACAGGGGAGCCUCGUGGCUUUGGAUUUGUGAAGUUCCGAUAUGCGGAAGAUGCAGCUGAGGCUAAGCAGCAAAUGAAUCAUACUGUUAUUGGAGGACGUGAGAUAAGAAUUGUUUUUGCUGAGGAGAACAGAAAAACUCCUCACGAGAUGCGCGUGACUGAGCGUGUGAGUGGGCGACACAGGGAAAGAAGGAGAAGUACAUCAAGGUCUCCAAGACACCACAAUCAUUCUUACUCGAGGUCACCAACACCAGAUAGGCAUGACUCAAGAUAUUAAAGUGAACAGGAAGAUUUUAAAGACCUAUGGGUAAAUAAAGUUAAACGACAAAAGAGAGAGAUGGACAACUCCUUACCAUUCUGUCAAAGCUUUUCUAAUGUUAUUAUCCCACCUUCGCCAAUUACUGUCAAAGCAUGGGCUUUUGCUUACUAGGUCUGGUGGCCUGCAGUUGCAACUGAACUGAUUAGUAAAGCACUGUCAGCAGAUGAUUAAAUCACUAAAUUAAGAAAAGAACUAGAGCCUUUUUAUGGCCAAAGAAAGAAAUCAUCCUCAAUCAAGGGAAGCAAUACCGGUGUAGAGAUAUGAUGACAUUGUCAAAGAUAGUUUGAGGUUUUAGAAAGUUGGGCCAAAGAGAGCCAUGCAGUUGUUGGACGCUGACGUACCGGUACAUCGUUAAUGAGACUAAUUCCAGUAUUUGGGCCCAAGUUGGUAAUUUGUACGGAACUCUUAUUAAGGUGCAGGAGCUGUGGGGCAAAGGAUCGAUACCAGUCUCCAAUGCGUUCUGGGUCUGUACCACAUUCUCCAUAUCCUCAGGAGCAAAAGAUUAAGCGGUCUAGUAAGAGGUCUCCAAGUCCAAGGGAAGAUAGUCGAAGU